AGAAUUUUUCACAAUGGGCGCAAGCCUGAUGGAGCGACGCCGCGUGGGGGAUGAAGGGUUUCGAUCCGUAACCCCCUGUCAUUUGCGAACAAACCUUGAGGGUGAACAGCCUUCAAGCUGAUUGUAGCGAAAGAGGAAGGGCCGGCUAACUCUGUGCCAGAAGCCGCGGUCAUACAGAGGUCCCAAGCGUUGUUCGGAUUCACUGGGCGUAAAGGGUGCGUAGGUGGCCGUGGAAGUUCGGUGUGAAAGCUCGGAGCUCAACUCCGAAAUGGCAUUGAAUACUCUACGGCUGGAGGGUCGGAGGGGAGACUGGAAUUCUCGGUGUAGCAGUGAAAUGCGUAGAUAUCGAGAGGAACACCAGUGGCGAAGGCGAGUCUCUGGACGACACCUGACACUGAGGCACGAAAGCUAGGGGAGCAAAC
rnacentral:rRNA from 1 species